rnacentral:rRNA from 1 species
AACGAACGCUGGCGGCAGGCUUAACACAUGCAAGUCGAACGCAUGCCUUCGGGCAUGAGUGGCAGACGGGUGCGUAACGCGUGGGAACCUACCCCUUGGUACGGGAUCGCUCCGGGAAACUGGAGAUAAUACCGUAUGUGUCCUGAGGGACAAAGAUUCAUCGCCAAGGGAUGGGACCGCGUCGGAUUUGCUAGUUGGUGGGGUAACGGCCUACCAAGGCGACGAUCCGUAGCUGGGCUAAGAGGAUGAUCAGCCACAUUGGGACUGAGACACGGCCCAAACUCCUACGGGAGGCAGCAGUGGGGAAUAUUGGACAAUGGGCGCAAGCCUGAUCCAGCCAUGCCGCGUGAGUGAUGAAGGCCCUAGGGUUGUAAAGCUCUUUCACCGGUGACGAUAAUGACGGUAACCGGAGAAGAAGCCCCGGCUAACUUCGUG